rnacentral:rRNA from 1 species
UGGGGAAUUUUGGACAAUGGGCGAAAGCCUGAUCCAGCAAUGCCGCGUGUGCGAAGAAGGCCUUCGGGUUGUAAAGCACUUUUGUCCGGAAAGAAAUCCUUGGCUCUAAUACAGUCGGGGGAUGACGGUACCGGAAGAAUAAGCACCGGCUAACUACGUGCCAGCAGCCGCGGUAAUACGUAGGGUGCAAGCGUUAAUCGGAAUUACUGGGCGUAAAGCGUGCGCAGGCGGUUUGCUAAGACCGAUGUGAAAUCCCCGGGCUCAACCUGGGAACUGCAUUGGUGACUGGCAGGCUAGAGUAUGGCAGAGGGGGGUAGAAUUCCACGUGUAGCAGUGAAAUGCGUAGAGAUGUGGAGGAAUACCGAUGGCGAAGGCAGCCCCCUGGGCCAAUACUGACGCUCAUGCACGAAAGCGUGGGGAGCAAACAGGAUUAGAUACCCUGGUAGUCCACGCCCUAAACGAUGUCAACUAGUUGUUGGGGAUUCAUUUCCUUAGUAACGUAGCUAACGCGUGAAGUUGACCGCCUGGGGGAGUACGGUCGCAAGAUUAAAACUUAAAGGAAUUGACGGGGUCAUAGCUGUUUCCU